GACGAACGCUGGCGGCGUGCUUAACACAUGCAAGUCGAACGGUAAGGCCCUUUCGGGGGUCCACGAGUGGCGAACGGGUGAGUAACACGUGGGUGAUCUGCCCUGCACUUUGGGAUAAGCCUGGGAAACUGGGUCUAAUACCGGAUAGGACUACGCGAUGCAUGUCGUGUGGUGGAAAGCUUUUGCGGUGUGGGAUGGGCCCGCGGCCUAUCAGCUUGUUGGUGGGGUGAUGGCCUACCAAGGCGACGACGGGUAGCCGGCCUGAGAGGGUGUCCGGCCACACUGGGACUGAGAUACGGCCCAGACCCCUACGGGAGGCAGCAGUGGGGAAUAUUGCACAAUGGGCGCAAGCCUGAUGCAGCGACGCCGCGUGGGGGAUGACGGCCUUCGGGUUGUAAACCCCUUUCAGCACAGACGAAGCGUAAGUGACGGUAUGUGCAGAAGAAGCACCGGCCAACUACGU
rnacentral:rRNA from 1 species